CCGCUUCCCGGUCCGGGAACCCUAAACCCUCCACUCCCGUUCUCUCCUACGGUUAUUGGUUCCUCGAGUCGUUCUCGCACCGUUUCUUCUCUCUUCCUCUGUUGUUCCUGAGAUCCAGAUCUUUUGCGCGAGAAGGAGAUGGCCGCAUGGGCGCUAGUUGCUUCCACCGAUUGUUUCUAUGGAUCUGUGUCAACUUGUUCAAGAUCCGCAGUUUGACGGAGAGAAACCAGAGAAAAGAGCGGGGGAAUGAGUCUUUUAGAUAACAUGAGGAGAGAAAUCAAAAUUUCCAUAUGACUUUUCUUUAUUUUCUUGUUUCUCUCUCUCUCCCUCUUCCGUUCUUUCCUAUUUUGCCGAUGCUAUGCUCUUUUUUGCCCUUCUGCUGCUUUUUGAUGUGUUCUUCGUCUUCAUUCCUUAUGCAUCCUUUUUCAUCCUCUCUAUCGUUGUGCUACUGCUUUUUUUUUAUUGCAAUAUGUUACUGGAAUCUGUGGUUUCACAUUCUUUUUUUUCCUUUAAUUUGUUGUUGAUGCUUAAUGUUCUCUGUUUUCGGCUGUUGUUUUGAUUAUGUUUCUGUGAUGUGUUUUUCUAGCUGCAAUCUCUUUUGCUUCCGUGACGCUGAGUUGAUAUAUCCAGUAUGAUUAUAUCUUUUGUUUCUCGUUCUUUAUGCUAAUUGUGAGGAGCAUGAUGCCCUUCUUCUGAAACAGGAAAUAUUAUUAUUUUAGUUUGUUUAUAAGCCUGAACUAAUGUCUUCAUUAUCUGUACAUUAUUGAACAGCAAAGAAUUAUCCAUUCUGGGUUCUUAUAAUUUUUUUUUUUGUGUUAUCAUCCUUUGUUUAUCAUCCUCAUUUCAGUGAGGUGUGUAUCUGGUGCACCUCAAUUUAAUAACUUACAGAAGCCGAACAGCAGUUUUGCAGACUAUCACAGGUGGGAUCACAAACUUGUACUUGGUAGCUGAUCUUAUUGUUCUCCUCUCCUGGCUUAAUUGGAUCGACCUUGCUUAACCAACUUACUUGCCUGACCUGGUCCUUGAAGUUCAGUUUCAUUAAAUACAGCUUUUCUUGUCUACUACUGUUUCAAUUCGACAGCAAUCUAACCACCACAGUUCUCUUUUAUGGUUUUUUUUUCUUUUUAACAUGUGUAAUGAGCCUUCAUGUUAGUUGUAUUGUUGACACUGCUGUAACUUAUUUGCAAUGGUAAUAGCUGAAUUUACUGCUUGAUAAGUCAUUGUUCAUUUUAGUUGAUGAUAUUUUGUCAUAUACCCCUGAAUAAACUAUACUUGCUUUGAAUUUCAUUUUUUUUUCUAAAGCAUUAGUUAUUUUCCAGUAUUUUAUUUUGACUUGUUUCUUAUUAUGCGUGUCAUGUCAUUUAAAUUUGCACAGGCGUUAAGCAUAUACCUUACAUGUUGUUGUAUACCCACUUAACUGUUAUAGACUCUCCCUGUGGUUAUCAGUGAAGAUGCUGAAAAAUCUGCUCCAGUUCUUGGAGAACCCAUGGAUUUGAUGACCGCUCUCCAACUUUUGACGUAGAAAUCAUUGGCUCAUGAUGGGCUUGUUCGUGGGCUCCAUGAAGCUGCCAAAGCAAUUGAGAAGCACGCAGCACAGCUUUGUAUUUUGGCCGAGGAUUGCAACCAGGCCGACUAUGUCAAGCUAGUCAAAGCGCUUUGUGCUGAUCAUAACUUGCAUCUAGUCACGGUGCCAAGUGCCAAAACCCUCGGUGAGUGGGUAGGGGUUAGUAUCUAUUGCAUAUCUAUAAUUCCUUUUUCGAUACUUUUACUUAGGGAGUCUUUAGUUGCUUAAAAUAUUAAUGGAGAAUGAUUUUUUUUGGGGGGGGGGGGCAACAUUAGUUAUUGAUGGUGGGAAAACAAAAACAUUUUAGAAAACCUUCUUCCAGACAUGUAGGAAAUUUAUUCUUUUGUAUUCUGAUUUUUUUUCCUCUAGAAAAUGAUAGGAAAUUGGGCUGUGGAAUAAAAACUUAUUUUUUUCUUGGGCUGUAAUAAGGACUCUUUGGCUGGCAAAUUGCAUAUCACCUUUUAUUCUCUUGUCGAGGCAUAGAAGUUUGCAGCCGUUUGGCUUUACUUUAUUUUGCGGUACUGACUGCUUGUGUCAUGCUCUGCCCUAAUGUGUUUUUCCGAAAUUGAUGCUUGGAAUGCAGCUAUGCAAGAUUGACUCAGAGGGAAAGGCCAGAAAAGUUGUGGGUUGUUCGUGUGUGGUAGUCAAGGAUUAUGGUGAAGAAUCAGAGGGCCUUCACAUAGUUCAGGAAUAUGUCAAGUCCCACUAAGCUUUACAUCUAUCGAAUUGGGUAAUACAGUAAUCUGUUUCUUUUGGAUCUUAAGAGGCAGGUUGCCAACAACGCAAUCCAGAACACCAUUUAAAUCAAUUGUUGAACUUGGAACAUUGCCUUGUCUUGUCUGUUUAGUUGUGCUGUGGAAGCUGUUCACAAGCAUUAGGCUUUCGAGUUUUUCAUUGACCCGAGCUAGUCCAGGCUAUAUCUGGUUAAUUGAUAGUGCCAGUUAUAGAUGCAAAGUGACUUUGUAUGUUGUGAAUUGCUUUGGACAUUUUGCUGCGUAAUUAAUUAUUCAUUCAUCUUUGUGUUUUG